rnacentral:tRNA from 1 species
ACCUGGCUGGCUCAGUCAGUAGAGCGUGGGACUCUUAAGCCUGAGUUCAUGAGUUCAAGCCCAUAUUGGGUG